rnacentral:rRNA from 1 species
AGAGUUAAAUAGUACGUGAAAUUGUUGAAAGGGAAACGAUUGAAGUCAGUCGUACCAACGGGAAAUCAGCCUUUUGAAGUAGGAUUUUGGGGUUCAAAGAGUGUCAAAACCUUUGGGUUUCAAAAUAAUUCUUUUUCUGGUGUACUUUCUCGUAGGUAGGUCAACAUCGAUUUUGAACAUCAUAAAAAGAUUGGAGGAAUGUAGCUUCGAUCUCGUAUUGAAGUGUUAUAGCCUUUGGUAAAUGUGAUGAUCAAGAUCGAGGAUUGCAACGAAUAUCCUUUUGGGCUAUCCGUCUGAUCUCUGAUACGUUGCCUUGGUAUUGAAAGCUUGCUUAUGAUAUCGGAGCGUACGUUCAAAAGGUUAGAGCGGGUUAAAUUCGUUAAGGACGCUGACGUAAUGGCUUUAAACGACC